AAACGGCGGUCGGCCGGGAAAUAAAAAUGUGACACCAAGUUUCGGUUCUUCUUCGUUGCGUCGUUGGACGUCCCCGCGUCGCAUCGAAACAAACAUUGAUACCGAGACACAAAAAGUGACGAGAGAAAAGACCGACAAACGGACACUAGGCUGCCAGGCGAAAAUCAAUAGGUAGUGAGAGUGUGUGAAGGUGAGAGGCACAGACAUUCCGUUUCUUCUG
ensembl:ncRNA T23F11.7 ncRNA